rnacentral:lncRNA from 1 species
AAAGUGCCAUUAAUCAAUUAAAAAAACUAAAGGUAAUAUGAAAUGAGGGCUAAACAAUGUAAACUAACUGCCAAUUAAAGUAUACAGUAGUUCUGGUCUUAGCUACAUUUGAUAUGGAAUUAUAUCACAUUAAGCAGAUCCCAGCAAAUUUAGUAAAAACAUAGGCAUUGAAUUUUAAUGGCUACCAAUGGGGAUAUAUACUUAGCCUGCAGGCCAAACUUCAAUCAGUGUUUUUCUAUCCUGGUGUUUUGUGAACAAGCCAAAAUUUAUACAAAGCCACCCUAAGUGCUGCAAUUGCAGAGGAACCUCCCUCUUGGUGAUAUUAGAGAACAGUCCAACUCCACUCAAAUUGAGUCCAAAAUUUGGAACUCAUCCAGAAAAACAAACGGAGGAGAAAAAUCUAAUGCACCAAGUAUGCUUGGCAUUUGUGUAGCUGGGGCAAUGUGGGCAGAGGCUAAAAAGACAAGCUAUAGAACAAAGACAAGGUUGAGGUGGAAAACAUCAGCUAGUCCCAGGAAAAGAAGGUGUGUGAUCUGAGAGAAUCACUUAUAUUAGAUCACUGGUAUACUUGUUAGCAUGAUACUGGAUUCAGAGCAGUUGUUUCUGCUAAACUCACCAAAGGUAGUGGGUUUGAAGGCCUCAGAGAAUUAGUAGAGCCCUGAACAACUUUUCCAGACCUGGGAGAUGGAGAAGGGAGGUUCUUGCUUUAAAGCAGCCCAAAGACAAUCUCUGUGACUUUAGCAACUCUUCAAUAGAGUAGUGCCAAUAGCAGAGAGAUUUCACUGACCUUCCUAGUGGUACAAGUGCCACGGGAGGGGAGAGGGGUGGUGAGUGGGACAGAUGAGUUUUAUCAGAAAGAGAUUUCACACUACGAAGGGUGCACCGGUACUAGCCUCACAGGAUAUCGCUGCAGAAAAGUAGACCAAUGGGUGGCUCAGGCCAUGCCCUCUGUCCUUUAGGACCCAAGGUCAGGCCGUUCCCACCUUGAUUUGCUUUUAGAGAAGGAGCCCGUACGAUGGGAUCAAGAGGGAAAUUGGGUGCUCUGCCUUAGGCUGUUAAAACGCUGCCACCCGCAUUACAAAACUCACAUGAGUCAAGACGCUUGAGAUACUUCCUUAUGGGCAGCAUCCACUGUGGUGUGCCAGCCUGACACCCCUUCAGGAACGGUGUUUAAAUGGCAGCCAGUGCUGGCCCGCCCAGAGUAUCGGUGCAUCUUUCCUAAAGCCAGAGUUCAGCACUGCAUGUUGACCAGGUGGAUAUCCUGUAAUAUAAAUGCUCGUUUGGAUCCAAAAGGAAAAUUAUUAAAAAUAAAAGAAAGAUGAACAACUUUAAUGUUUUUGGGGGGGUCAAAGAAAAGAAUAAAUAAAACCUUGUUGUAAAGAAU